CUGGUGUCAGCCGCCGCGGUAAUCCCAGCACCCCGAGUGGUCGGGACGAUUAUUGGGCCUAAAGCAUCCGUAGCCGGCCUUACAAGUCCUCCGUUAAAUCCAGCUGCUUAACAGAUGGGCUGCGGAGGAUACUAUAAGACUAGGAGGCAGGAGAGGCAAGCGGUACUCAGUGGGUAGGGGUAAAAUCCGUUGAUCCAUUGAAGACCACCAGUGGCGAAGGCGGCUUGCCAGAAUGCGCUCGACGGUGAGGGAUGAAAGCUGGGGGAGCAAACCGGAUUAGAUACCCGGGUAGUCCCAGCUGUAAACGAUGCAGACUCGGUGAUGGACCAGCUUUAUGCUGGUCCAGUGCCGCAGGGAAGCCGUUAAGUCUGCCGCCUGGGUAGUACGGUCGCAAGACUGAAACUUAAAG
rnacentral:rRNA from 2 species